UACGGGGGGGGCAAGCGUUGUUCGGAAUUACUGGGCGUAAAGGGCUCGUAGGCGGCCAACUAAGUCAUACGUGAAAUCCCUCGGCUUAACCGGGGAACUGCGUCUGAUACUGGAUGGCUUGAGUUCGGGAGAGGGAUGCGGAAUUCCAGGUGUAGCGGUGAAAUGCGUAGAUAUCUGGAGGAACACCUGUGGUGUAGACAGCUUACUGGACCAUUUCUGACGCUGAGACACGAAAGCGUGGGUAGCAAACAGG
rnacentral:rRNA from 1 species